rnacentral:sRNA from 1 species
AUUCUGCCCAUGCGGGGAAGGAUGAGAAGCUUCGACCAAGGUUCGAUUCGAGCGCUAGCGAGAAAGCGUUGCCGCAGGCAACGACCCGAAGGGCGAGGAGCAUCGCGACGAGUCAUCCUUCCCCCACCACCA